GUCCGUGAUCACCUGUUGACAACUCUGUCUACUUGUACCAAAAGAAUCCCCUCAGGGACCCAGAGGGGAGGGAAGCUUCUAGAAGCACUAAUGGCUCUAAAAUCACCUCCAUCCAGAGGAAAACAAGAAUACUGACUGAUUUUCUCCACAGGACUGUGCAGCAACAGGAGACGACAUCAUUGUGAGUUAAGAGUUGAAGCAAAAACAUUAGUUUCUGACUUUCCAAACAGAAGGUCUUAAGUCCUCUUGCCAUUCAGCUAGAAACGUGACAGUGUCUGGAGAGCCCUUCCAGUCUCAUCUGGCACCUUGGGAUUCAAACCUCACCAGAAAGGAGAGCAAAUCGCCCUGUCACUGCCCUAUCUUUUUGGCAGUCAGUGUUUCAAAGCUAAUAGAUGGUAAUGGAUUCCAGGAGAACUUAGAAAACCCUCUGGUUAAAAUGCUUUUUAAAAUGUCUCCAGUCUCGCCAGCUGGGGAAAGCUAAUCUCAUCUCUCACGGUACAGAGCAACCCAGAUCCCUUAAUCUUCCUCAGAUUUGUGCAUAAUACUUACCCUCUGAUGUUUAAGUAAUGCAGUCCAAAAAGGUAGCUCCUUAGUGCACCACAGAGUCAGUAGCCUGCUGGCUGCCCACAAGGGGCCAGGAGGACCACGCUUGGCUCAAGCUCCAUCUUGGUGAGGCUGCCCUGUCCACUCUGCUUUUAUGCCCCCUAACUCAGUGGGCCUUAAUUCUUGAUAAACUGGCUCUUUAGUACCUGAAAGAACAACUAUGAGGCUAUUUACUUUCAAAAUGUAUGCUUCUGUAAUUGUGAGCAGAAAAUACCCUGUUAUCAUCACACAGAGAGGAGCUUUUAAUUCACACACUCACCCGAAGCCAUUUAUGAGCACACUGACCUCAGUUGCCUGGCUGCCGAAAAUGAUGGGAACACAAGAAUAGGUUUUAAAUGGACCCUCUUCGAGCUAAAUCAGCCCUCAAAAUACUUCUGAUGGCAUCUAUUUACGUGUAAAACUGAGAAGCUAUAGAUGCAUAAAUGUAUUCAGAUGUCUGAUUAUAAUUACCAUGAAAAGAAGGCUUUUAUAGCUGUCACUGAGUCAUUGUAACUUCGGAAGCAAGGGAAGACUUGUGUGAGAUUCUGCUCAAUCAGGUGAGUAUAUCAAAAGAACACAAGACCAUACACUUCACCAUGCACCUGGGCCAAAGUACAAAGAUUGGUCUUUCUUUGUGAGAUGGAGUCUCGCUCUGUCGCCCAGGCUGGAGCACAGUGGCACGAUCUUGGCUCACUGCAUCCUCUGCUUCCCAGUUCAAGUGAUUCUCCUGCCUCAGCCUCCCAAGUAGCUGGAACUAUAGGCACUCACCAUCAGGCCCAGCUAAAUUUUUUUGUAUUUUUAGAAGAGACGGAGUUUCACCAUAUUGGUCAGGCUGGUCUUGAACUCCGGACCUUGUGAUCCGGCCGCCUCAGCCUCCCAAAGUGCUGGGAUCACAGGCAUGAGCCACCGCGCCCAGCCAAGGAUUAGUCUUUCUAGUGGGGUCAUACAUAAAGCAGUAUCCUCUCAAGUGACAGAAAACUUUCCCAGGGGGUCAAAUUUGGACCUAAUAUAUUUCAAAACAACAGAUAUUCGUAUAGCCUCAAAAAUAAAUAAAUAACACGUCUGCAUUCUGCUUAUGGCAAUGGGGACAACACUCUCUCCCAUCCGUCACAGCUUCCCUGGUCCUCAGGGGGACUGGUUACCCUGUGAGUUUCCAAGAGUUGAGAGAAGAGCUGAGUUAUGCCAAGCAUUCACAAGUCCCACUUUCCUCUUACUUGCAGUCCAAACAAACCACUGAGACAUUGUUUUCUAUAACCUUGUUGAUUGUGCCUUUUAUGCCCACAAUUAAACACCCACACACUUGCCCUGACCAUCCUGGAGUGCGAUCUUCCUCCACAUGUUUUAACCUCUCCACCAUUAUGCUAUGUACUGAAUGGUAUCCCCACAAAAUUCAUGGUGAAGCCCUAACCUCCAGUGUGACGGUAUUUGGAGAUGUGCCUUUGGGAGGUGAUUAGGGUUAGAUGAGUUCAGGAGAGUAGGACUCUCAUGAUGAGAUUAGUGCCCUAUAUAGGAAGGGGCACCAUGGAACUUGGUCUGCCCUAACCACCCCAUCCCCAUGGGAGGACACAACUAGAAGGCAAAAGUCUGUAAGCCAGGAGGUGGGUCCUCACCAAGACCCAAAUUGGCUGGCACCUUGAUCUUGGCCUUCUUGGCCUCCAGAACUAUGGGAAAA
rnacentral:lncRNA from 10 species